rnacentral:rRNA from 1 species
UACAGAGGUCCCAAGCGUUGUUCGGAUUCAUUGGGCGUAAAGGGUGCGUAGGCGGCGCGGUAAGUCGGGUGUGAAAUCUCGGAGCUUAACUCCGAAACUGCAUUCGAUACUGCCGUGCUCGAGGGUUGGAGGGGGGACUGGAAUACUUGGUGUAGCAGUGAAAUGCGUAGAUAUCAAGUGGAACACCAGUGGCGAAGGCGAGUCCCUGGACAGCUUCUGACACUGAGGCACGAAAGCUAGGGGAGCAAACAGG